CUGUUUCCUCCUUCUUCCUGGAACACAAACAAGAUGUCCUGGGCUGUAACAAUCAUUUUGGACCAUGAGCUGUGUUUCUUGUUACCCAAGAUUGUUUGGAACUUUUGGUCAUCCUGCCUCUACCUUCCCAGUGCUGGGAUUAUGACAUAUGACAACCAUGUUCUGCUGUUCCAAACUGACUGACUGUUUCAAGCAAGAGCUCACUCUACCCCUGACUAGCCCAAAACUCACUAUGUAGACUCAGCUUCCUGGUCAGAAUCUCUAUCCUGCCCAGAGAUUGGAAGAGACUGAUGUUCCACUCCCACUGGUUCCCUACCCACCGGAGUCUUUCUGGUUUUCAUAGACCACAAACAGGCUGAGCAAUUCUCUCCUCCACAUCAUUUCUCACUAAAAGGGAACUCAGUGGUUUUUUUAUUCUUACUUUUGACUUUGGACAGCUCUUAGAAUUUCGCCUAGCCUGGCCUCACAAAAUUAACAUCUCCCAACUUAGCAUCCUAAAGCUGAGAUUAUAGGCCUGCACCCUCUACCUGUCUGAGUGGUCCCAAUGUUAGCCUUUCAUGGCUUCUCUUUCAAUCUUUUAUGUAAACACUGACAUGCAGUAGUGUUUGAGGCCUACUAAGCUGUUGAGUAUUUGAGUCUUCCGCAGCCACUCCUCCAGUAACAUCCUGAGCAGCCUCAGGCGAGCACAUCUUUAGAGCAUAGACAUAAGCAUAAAUUCCCAAUCCUAGUACUCAGCAGAGGGAUGGUGAAUGCCUGGUGUUCAAGAUCAGCCUGGGCCACAUAGCAAGCACCAGGGAAACAGGAGAAACAAGAUUAGCUCUAAACAAAACACCAGCACUUGGGAGAUGUUGCCUAAGGAGAUAACAAAUGCCCCCAUCCACUUCCCUGCAAGCAACUUAGUACUUGCCUCUAGCAUAUUUCAAAUGUCUUUCUUAGAAAUGCAGACACAUUAUGUAAAUAAAUGUAUAAAGGCAAUGAUUACAAGUGAUAAAAUAUGAAAGAAAAUUCUGUGAAA